CCAGACAUUUCAAUGAACACAGUGUUCUACACGUCUACGAAAGAUGGACAGUGACAGCGUAGUGGAGAUCUUCAUCUUCAGAACCGUAAGACGAGCUGGAAGAACAAGAGAUCAACAUGACUGAGUCGCCUCUGCUCUGAUGUUGAUUUCUAUCAUCUCAUUGAUGUCUAUGAAGAACUGAGCUCCAUGUUCAGGAGUUGGA